rnacentral:rRNA from 1 species
UACGAAGGGUGCAAGCGUUACUCGGAAUUACUGGGCGUAAAGCGCGCGUAGGUGGUUCGUUAAGUUGGAUGUGAAAGCCCCGGGCUCAACCUGGGAACUGCAUCCAAAACUGGCGAGCUAGAGUACGGUAGAGGGUGGUGGAAUUUCCUGUGUAGCGGUGAAAUGCGUAGAUAUAGGAAGGAACACCAGUGGCGAAGGCGACCACCUGGACUGAUACUGACACUGAGGUGCGAAAGCGUGGGGAGCAAACAGG